AUAUUUAUAUAAUACACGAAGCACAUCUGCAAAACUUGAGAAUAACGCAGGAUCAUUCUAAUACUUACAAAGCAUUCUGGGCUAUAAUAAAAUGCAAUUUUCGUAGAAGAAAGCAACCGUAUCUUUCAAGGACGAAUGAAGUUAUGUAGGAAGUCUGUGGUAGUUUAAUAGAACAUUGUUGGGAUCAGUCAAUCAUUGCUUCCGUUUAAGGAUAGAUAUAAAAUUUGAGUCAUUUUCUAUGGACACAAGGAAAAA